rnacentral:tRNA from 2 species
UCGGUUUGACUCCGAUAGCGGGCU